AACGCGAAGAACCUUACCUGCUCUUGACAUCCUGCGAACUGUGCCGAGAGGCGCGGGUGCCGAAAGGAACGCAGAGACAGGUGCUGCAUGGCUGUCGUCAGCUCGUGUUGUGAGAUGUUGGGUUAAGUCCCGUAACGAGCGCAACCCUUGCCCUUAGUUGCCAUCAAGUAAAGUUGGGGACUCUAAGGGGACUGCCGGUGAUGAACCGGAGGAAGGCGGGGACGACGUCAAGUCAUCAUGGCCUUUAUGGGCAGGGCAACACACGUGCUACAAUGGGGCGUACAGAGGGUCGCGAACCCGCGAGGGGGAGCCAAUCCCAGAAAGCGCCUCGUAGUCCGGAUUGGGGUCUGCAAUUCGACCCCAUGAAGUUGGAAUCGCUAGUAAUCGCGGAUCAGCAUUGCCGCGGUGAAUACGUUCCCGGGCCUUGUACACACCGCUCGCGA
rnacentral:rRNA from 1 species